UCUCCGUAGGUGAACCUGCGGAGGGAUCAUUACAGAGUUCAUGCCCUCACGGGUAGAUCUCCCACCCUUGUGUAUUCAUACCUUUGUUGCUUUGGCAGGCCGCUGGGCUUCGGCCUGGCCACCGGCUCCCGGGCUGGUGCGUGCCUGCCAGGGGUCCUCCAAACUCUGUUUGUCAGUGUCGUCUGAGUAUUAUACAAUCGUUAAAACUUUCAACAACGGAUCUCUUGGUUCUG
rnacentral:misc_RNA from 1 species